CAGUCGCCGCGGUAAUACGUAGGUGGCAAGCGUUGUCCGGAAUUAUUGGGCGUAAAGGGCUCGCAGGCGGUUUCUUAAGUCUGAUGUGAAAGCCCCCGGCUCAACCGGGGAGGGCCAUUGGAAACUGGGAAACUUGAGUGCAGAAGAGGAGAGUGGAAUUCCACGUGUAGCGGUGAAAUGCGUAGAGAUGUGGAGGAACACCAGUGGCGAAGGCGACUCUCUGGUCUGUAACUGACGCUGAGGAGCGAAAGCGUGGGGAGCGAACAGGAUUAGAUACCCGGGUAGUCCCUGUCUCUUAUAA
rnacentral:rRNA from 1 species